UUUAUAGAAUAUACAUCAAAUGCAUCCUCAGAUUACAACGUCUGACUAUAUCCACAUCGUCUCGGAGAAAAUGUUCUAUGUCCUUCACCAAGUCAGGAACAGCUCGUUUCAAAAUAGACUAAACAUCCAUGUCAAUCUUGAAUGAUAAUUCCUCACGUUUUACUGGUGAAAUGUCCACACUGCAUGCCAAUCAUCUCAAUCAUUAUCAUGAGAAUAUGCAUUUAGAUAUUAUUGAAUUACUGUUACAUGAGUGAAUUAACCAGGAGCUAUAUGUAUCAAUCCUUUCCAGAUAACAGAGGAAAUGAGACUGUGGAGAGAGACCAGCUACAGACCAGUUAUAACACACUGACUGAAGAGAGAGACCAGCUACAGACCAGUUACAACACACUGACUGAAGAGAGAGACCAGCUACAGAAGGAAAGAGAUGAUCUCAUGAGAAAGUUCUCUAAUCUGAAACAAACCUGUCCUGAUGGCUGGCAGAAGUUCAACUCCAGUUGGUACUUCCUGUCUACUGAGACUAAAACCUGGAAGGAGAGCAGAGAGGACUGUCUGGAGAGAGGAGCCGACCUGGUGAUCGUAAACAGUGAUAUGGAACAGCAGUUUCUCUUAGGCCUCAAUAAGGGAGCCUGGAUUGGUCUGACUGAUUGUGUUACCGAGGGGACCUGGAGAUGGGUGGACGACACCCCACUGACCAUAAG